UACAGAGGGUGCGAGCGUUAAUCGGAAUUACUGGGCGUAAAGCGCGCGUAGGCGGCUUUUCAAGUCGAUUGUGAAAUCCCCGGGCUUAACCUGGGAACUGCAGUCGAGACUGUCUAGCUAGAGUAUGGGAGAGGGAAGUGGAAUUUCAGGUGUAGCGGUGAAAUGCGUAGAGAUGUGGAGGAAUACCGAUGGCGAAGGCAGCCCCCUGGGCCAAUACUGACGCUCAUGCACGAAAGCGUGGGGAGCAAACAGG
rnacentral:rRNA from 1 species